rnacentral:rRNA from 1 species
CCUACGGGUGGCAGCAGUGGGGAAUAUUGGGCAAUGGGCGAAAGCCUGACCCAGCAACGCCGCGUGAAGGAAGAAGGCUUUCGGGUUGUAAACUUCUUUUGACAGGGAAGAGCAGAAGACGGUACCUGUCGAAUAAGCCACGGCUAACUACGUGCCAGCAGCCGCGGUAAUACGUAGGUGGCAAGCGUUGUCCGGAUUUACUGGGUGUAAAGGGCGUGUAGCCGGGCUGACAAGUCAGAUGUGAAAUCCGGGGGCUCAACCCCCGAACUGCAUUUGAAACUGUUGGUCUUGAGUAUCGGAGAGGCAGGCGGAAUUCCUGGUGUAGGAGUGAAAUCCGUAGAUAUCAGGAGGAACAUCAGUGGCGAAGGCGACUAUCUGGCACAUAACUGACGGUGAGGAGCGAAAGCGUGGGGAGCAAACAGGAUUAGAUACCCGUGUAGUC